rnacentral:rRNA from 1 species
AUUGAACGCUGGCGACAUGCCUUACACAUGCAAGUCGAACGGCAGCACGGGUGCUUGCACCUGGUGGCGAGUGGCGAACGGGUGAGUAAUAUAUCGGAACGUACCUUAUUGUGGGGGAUAACGCAGCGAAAGCUGUGCUAAUACCGCAUAAUCCCUAAGGGGGAAAGCGGGGGACCGUAAGGCCUCGCGCAAUUAGAGCGGCCGAUGCCUGAUUAGCUAGUUGGUGAGGUAAAGGCUCACCAAGGCAACGAUCAGUAGCUGGUCUGAGAGGACGAUCAGCCAAACUGGGACUGAGACACGGCCCAGACUCCUACGGGAGGCAGCAGUGGGGAAUUUUGGACAAUGGGGGCAACCCUGAUCCAGCAAUGCCGCGUGAGUGAAGAAGGCCUUCGGGUUGUAAAGCUCUUUUGUCAGGGAAGAAACAGCAGCUCUAACACAGUUUGCGAAUGACGGUACCUGAAGAAUAAGCACCGGCUAACUACGUGCCAGCAGCCGCCGUAA